rnacentral:rRNA from 1 species
UGGGGAAUAUUGCGCAAUGAGGGGAACCCUGACGCAGCCAUGCCGCGUGAAUGAAGAAGGCCUUCGGGUUGUAAAGUUCUUUCGGUAUUGAGGAAGGUUGAUGUGUUAAUAGCACAUCAAAUUGACGUUAAAUACAGAAGAAGCACCGGCUAACUCCGUGCCAGCAGCCGCGGUAAUACGGAGGGUGCGAGCGUUAAUCGGAAUAACUGGGCGUAAAGGGCACGCAGGCGGUUAUUUAAGUGAGGUGUGAAAGCCCCGGGCUUAACCUGGGAAUUGCAUUUCAGACUGGGUAACUAGAGUACUUUAGGGAGGGGUAGAAUUCCACGUGUAGCGGUGAAAUGCGUAGAGAUGUGGAGGAAUACCGAAGGCGAAGGCAGCCCCUUGGGAAUGUACUGACGCUCAUGUGCGAAAGCGUGGGGAGCAAACAGGAUUAGAUACCCUGGUAGUCCACGCUGUAAACGCUGUCGAUUUGGGGGUUGGGGUUUAACUCUGGCGCCCGUAGCUAACGUGAUAAAUCGACCGCCUGGGGAGUACGGCCGCAAGGUUA